GCUCCCAUUGCCCAAUCGGCAGGGCACCCGCCCCGUACGCGGGAGAUGGCGGUUCGAGUCCGCCUGGGAGCUCCA
rnacentral:tRNA from 1 species